GACCCAGUGGCCUAAUGGAUAAGGCAUCAGCCUCCGGAGCUGGGGAUUGUGUCCCUCUGGGUCG
rnacentral:tRNA from 1 species